GAUGAACGCUGGCGGCGUGCCUAACACAUGCAAGUCGAACGAAGCGUCUUAAAGGAAGUUUUCGGAUGGAAUUUGGGAUGACUGAGUGGCGGACGGGUGAGUAACGCGUGGAUAACCUGCCUCAUACAGGGGGAUAACAGCUAGAAAUGGCUGCUAAUACCGCAUAAGCGCACAGUGCCGCAUGGCAGUGUGUGAAAAACUCCGGUGGUAUGAGAUGGAUCCGCGUCUGAUUAGCCAGUUGGCGGGGUAACGGCCCACCAAGCGACGAUCAGUAGCCGGCCUGAGAGGGCGACCGGCCACAUUGGGACUGAGACACGGCCCAA
rnacentral:rRNA from 1 species